GACGAACGCUGGCGGCGUGCUUAACACAUGCAAGUCGAACGGAAAGGCCUCUUUCGGGGGGUACUCGAGUGGCGAACGGGUGAGUAACACGUGAGUAACCUGCCCUUGACUUUGGGAUAACUUCAGGAAACUGGGGCUAAUACCGGAUAGGAGCUCCUGCUGCAUGGUGGGGGUUGGAAAGUUUCGGCGGUUGGGGAUGGACUCGCGGCUUAUCAGCUUGUUGGUGGGGUAGUGGCUUACCAAGGCUUUGACGGGUAGCCGGCCUGAGAGGGUGACCGGCCACAUUGGGACUGAGAUACGGCCCAGACUCCUACGGGAGGCAGCAGUGGGGAAUAUUGCACAAUGGGUGGAAGCCUGAUGCAGCAACGCCGUGUGCGGGAUGACGGCCUUGGGGUUGUAAACCGCUUUCGCUCAUGACGAAGCUUUGUGUGACGGUAGUGGGUAAAGAAGCACCGGCUAACUACGUG
rnacentral:rRNA from 1 species